CCUACGGGAGGCAGCAGUUUCGAAUCAUUCACAAUGGGCGAAAGCCUGAUGGUGCGACGCCGCGUGAGGGAUGAAGGUCUUCGGAUUGUAAACCUCUGUCACCGGGGAAGAAACGCUUCAAGUUAAUAGUUUGAAGCCUGACUUAACCCGGAGAGGAAGCAGUGGCUAACUCUGUGCCAGCAGCCGCGGUAAUACAGAGACUGCAAGCGUUAUUCGGAUUCACUGGGCGUAAAGGGUGCGCAGGCGGCCAAGUGUGUGAGGCGUGAAAGCCCGGAGCUUAACUCCGGAAUUGCACCUCAAACUACUUGGCUAGAGCAUUGGAGAGGGUAGCAGAAUUCACGGUGUAGCAGUGAAAUGCGUAGAUAUCGUGAGGAAUACCAGAGGCGAAGGCGGCUACCUAGACAAUUGCUGACGCUCAGGCACGAAAGCGUGGGGAGCAAAAGGGAUUAGAUACCCCUGUAGUCCACGCCCUAAACGGUGCACACUAGGUCUUGGCGGAUUCGACCCCACCAGGGCCCAAGCUAACGCGUUAAGNGUGCGCCUGNGACGACGCGCGAGACGAACUACANAGAGUAGACGCGNGAGAGNGCGAGGACGACACGAGGGAGAG
rnacentral:rRNA from 1 species